rnacentral:lncRNA from 1 species
GAUAUUUGCUAACAUUGAAAUGUUUGAAAAUAAAAUCAGCAGCCAGGAAUUAAAAUCAGAGGUGGGAAAGUUGUAUUUAUCUAAAAUGUGAAAUUGGAGAAAUACACAAAACCCCAAAGAUAUAUGUUAAGUCGUUUAGUCUUGUUCCAACAGUUGGAAUAUUUCCCAGCUGCGCCUUUCGCAGAUUCUUUUGUUUUCAUACCACUGGCUUCUGGAGUCCCCGAUUGGCAGGAUAUAGAAUUUUAAAUGAAUGCUAUUUGUGUGUGUUUAUGUAUGAAUGAAAAACACUGUUGCCGUCUGAGGGGUUCCCAGGAUAAAGCCUAGGCCCCAUCCUUCAGCCCUCACCCUCCGACAAGGACAGGCUACCUAACUCCAGUGUGAAGCGACCGUGGAGAGGCCGCGGUUCAGGUUCAAGCCGCCCGCAGAGACCGAGAACAAGUUUAACUUGAAUU